AGUGGUUUUUUAGUUUCCCGCUGCAGAGAAACAGGGAAAUGGUAGCUUCUGUGUAAGCACUUCCUAAAUUAGUAGAUUCCGCUAUUUGGGCUUGGCAAACCUUGGAUGGUAUGUGAUUUGAGACUUCCCUAUCACAUGCAACAGUUCUUUUGCAGCCAUGGCGUGGUAUCCUUCUCUUUGCCCCUUUAGAAAUGCAGACUAAGCCUUAAUAUUGCAGGUCCCUCUGAACAUUGUUUGGUGGAAACCCAUUUUCAUUUCUGUUUUAUUCAGCUCAUAGAAAGGCAUCAAUGGGAAAUAGGAAUUACUUAUUCAUUUAUGUUGGUAACACUAGGAUUCUCAAGUGAGUGUUGUUUUACUUCAUAACUGAUUAUUUCGUGACUAUUCAUUUAUGAAUCCAACCAAAUAUGUUUUUAGUCUUUGAUGUUGUAAAAUUCACUAUUAAAGGCAGUAAUACUGUAAUGUGAAAAAAAAACAAGGGAAAAGAAAAUAAGCUUUCCUUGGGGGUGGAGAAAAGAGUCAACACAUUAUAUUGUGACUCCAGGCGAGGUUAGUAAUAAAAGGCAUUAUGAAAUGGCUUGUUUAUGCACUUAGCGAGCUCAUUUCUAUUGCGAGAUAAUAAAAGAAGACUUUUUAAUGGUAUUUAACAAUUGUUAAUCUCCAUUGUCAUCUACUUUACCUGUGUUGCUCUCAAGUCAAUAAAAUAGGACGGGUGAUUUAUCAGUUCUACAUUAUUUUGAUAUGGAAUUAUUUUGUUAGUGUACUAUUUGAAUUUGUCUCUGCUCGACGCUGGUUGAGGCUUAUCUAUAAUAUGCUGUCCAAUUUUGUUGAUGCAUUUCCUAAUAUUUGGUUGCAGGUCCCCGAUUUCAUCCUAUGUGGUAUAUAUAAGCUCAGUUUAAUAAAUAUAUCAAAUUAUAGCAAAGAAUAUUGGAAGGAUGGAGUACAAUUAAUGUCCUGUUUCACGGGUAUGGUCAAUAUGACAUAUUGGAGACCAUUUCAGAGAAGGUUCACCAGAAGUUAGAAGAAUAAAAAGCAGAGUAUGAUGCACUUAGACAUAUAGUCUUUAUUAAAUUUUAAUAAAGGUAGUUAGCAAGGACGAUCAACUUAUAUAAUAAGAAGUUCAGCUAUCCUGUUAACAGAGAUAUCACAUCUUGCUCUUGACAAUAGUUUGUUAUAUGUGGUUUUCUUAAAGUUAGCUGCUUUUGGCUCAAUAUGAUAAAGUUCUGCUGGAGGUCAUUACUAUUUCUGAGUACUAGCUAGACUACUAAUCUGGGCUAUGUUACAAGUAUAGCUUAUCAAGUGAGAAGGAGCUCACAUUUCUCAUGGAUAUGUAGUGAUCCUGCAUAAGUUAUUCAUCAAAAAGUUAUAGGACGUCUCUUAUGACACUAAUAAUCUUUACAAUUUCCUUUUUAACACAUCUUUUGGUCUACUGAUCUGGGUAUAAGGAAGCAAUUUGAAAUCCUUUUAGCUGGCCAUGGUAGUUCCAAAAGAAGUGAAGAUUGGGCCUAAAGUAAUCAAGAAGCUGGAGAUUUCAUCUUUAUGCAACAACACGAAGACAAGUAAGUACAUUUUUGGGUGAACUCAAUGGCAUUGUCAGGAAACUCCAAUUUGGUAGCAGACACAAGAAAGGAAAGAUAACCAAGUCAACUCUUUGUCGAGGGCCAAGUUCGUAAGCAUAUAAUUCCUUCAUUUGACAUUUUCUUGACAGGUAGCUAUUUUUUUUGUAAGACAUGGAGGAAAUGUGGUUGCCGAGGACAAGAAAGGAUGAAGGUUGCUUGAACAAGCUUCAUAUUAGCCUUGGCUCAGCAUUAGUUGAUGAUGAGAAGGCAUUAAUGCUGGUAAAACAAUGCCGGAUGUAAAGCUACCUUUGAUGUCAUUAGCCAAUUGAUAUAUUCAAGGCUUAUUCUGUAAAUGGUUGAUGUGAGGUGUUCUCAAAUUUGUGAAAUUGGCGACCAACUGCCCAAACGUCAAAUAGGAAUGAGAAACUCCAACCAGUUUUCUUGAAAAUGUUUGCUCCUGAUGUUUCUUUAGUUCCUUGGUAAUUUUUAUAGGCUGGUUAGAGUUAGACUAACUUUGAGAUAAAUUCUAUGAAUUUCUUUUAUGGGAGAAGAGUUCUUCCAAAUUUAGCUUAGAGUUAGGAUUGGAGAGGUGACCUAAGUCAACUUUUUAAGACAUUCUUGGAUGGUAAUAUUGGCAUAGAUGAUUCUUGCUUCCUUUAUACUCCACAUGUCCAUCUUUGCUUUUGUAGAAAAAAAUUUAAAUUU